rnacentral:lncRNA from 1 species
AUUGUUCUGCAAAAAUAGAAAUUAAACUUGCAAACAGAUUAAAUAUUAAACCACAGCCAACACCGAUAAUUUGUGAAAGGUUAGUUGCGAGUCCAUUGAUUAGAACGGAGACAGUGGCGGUGGUUGACGAAGAAGCCGUGAGAUGGACGUCACAGGUGAAGGUUGAAGGUGAGUUCUGGGCUUGGUAGCGGAAGUGGAAUCGGUGUAAGCGUCGCGGUUUUGAAGGUGUUAGGUGUUGCGAUUUGGGUUUAAAGGUGUUGGAAAAGGAUCGCGGAGGAGAGCGGUGGAGGGUUUCGUGUGAGGUUCCGUCAAAGGUAGAGAACGAUGGUGGAGAUGGGAAGAGGAAAAUGAAGGUUAAGCGGCGGUGGCGGCUUCACGGAAGAUGAAGGGCGAUUGAAGCGAUUUGGUGGCCGGUGAUGGAAGGAUUUAUGGAUUGUGACGGCAAUGGUGAUUUGGGUCGGUAGCGUGAGCUUGAGCGGAAGGUUUCGCCGGUGACGAAAAGGCGGAUGAAGGAAUUUCGGCUUGGGUUUUGUGGAUUUGAGAAUGAGAUGUGAAGGUGAGGGAGAGUGACUUGUGUGGAAGGGUUUUGUUUGAUGGUUUUUUGUGAGAGAGAUGAGUGAAUCCGAGAGUGAGGUUUUCUGUGUGAGAGUUGAGAGAGUGAAUGGAGUGUGAGCGUGAGAUGUGAGCGAGAGAAUAUCUUUUAUUACCUUUAUUUUUUGUCGUUUAUGUCGGUACGAGAGAGAGGAAUGGGGUCAGGUUGUUAGUAGUGGAGAGUGUUUUUGUAGUGCAGAGAGACGUUGGGAUAGUGAGAUUCUUAUCAUUUAUUUUUUGUUUUUUAAAAGAGAUAAGAGAAUCCAAUGCUAAUAAUAUAUACAUUAUUAAAUAACAAAUUAUUAAAGCAAAGCUAAUUAAUAUUUAAAAAAACCUAAAUAAUAUUUUAAAUAAACUAACUAUUAUUUAACUAAUGUUUUAAAACAAACUAAUAUUUACUUAAAUAAACUAAUAUCUACUUAAAAUAGCUAAUACUUAAAACAACUAAUUUAAUAUUUUUAAAAAAACUAUUCUAAUUUUUUUAAUAAAAUACCAACAAAAUAUUUGACCAGUUAUAAAAAUAAAGAAAAAACCGAGUACAAAUUUUAAUCGAAAAAAUUAAACCAGUCACACUAAAAUUGUCAGCAAAGAAACCAACUUAUUAAAAAUACAGUCUUUCCUUCGAUUCAACCGAUUUUUCUGUAUUCUCAAAUAAAUUCAUCCUGACCGACAUUUCAGGUAUUAUUCAUGAUGCAAAUGUAUGUCAUGUUAUGCAUAUGAUGUUAUAAUAAAAAUGAAAUCGAUUCUAUGAUAAUUUAAAUAUGCCCGGACAAAAUUGGGGUACGACANAGUCCAUUGAUUAGAACGGAGACAGUGGCGGUGGUUGACGAAGAAGCCGUGAGAUGGCCGUCACAGGUGAAGGUUGAAGGUGAGUUCUGGGCUUGGUAGCGGAAGUGGAAUCGGUGUAAGCGUCGCGGUUUUGAAGGUGUUAGGUGUUGCGAUUUGGGUUUAAAGGUGUUGGAAAAGGAUCGCGGAGGAGAGCGGUGGAGGGUUUCGUGUGAGGUUCCGUCAAAGGUAGAGAACGAUGGUGGAGAUGGGAAGAGGAAAAUGAAGGUUAAGCGGCGGUGGCGGCUUCACGGAAGAUGAAGGGCGAUUGAAGCGAUUUGGUGGCCGGUGAUGGAAGGAUUUAUGGAUUGUGACGGCAAUGGUGAUUUGGGUCGGUAGCGUGAGCUUGAGCGGAAGGUUUCGCCGGUGACGAAAAGGCGGAUGAAGGAAUUUCGGCUUGGGUUUUGUGGAUUUGAGAAUGAGAUGUGAAGGUGAGGGAGAGUGACUUGUGUGGAAGGGUUUUGUUUGAUGGUUUUUUGUGAGAGAGAUGAGUGAAUCCGAGAGUGAGGUUUUCUGUGUGAGAGUUGAGAGAGUGAAUGGAGUGUGAGCGUGAGAUGUGAGCGAGAGAAUAUCUUUUAUUACCUUUAUUUUUUGUCGUUUAUGUCGGUACGAGAGAGAGGAAUGGGGUCAGGUUGUUAGUAGUGGAGAGUGUUUUUGUAGUGCAGAGAGACGUUGGGAUAGUGAGAUUCUUAUCAUUUAUUUUUUGUUUUUUAAAAGAGAUAAGAGAAUCCAAUGCUAAUAAUAUAUACAUUAUUAAAUAACAAAUUAUUAAAGCAAAGCUAAUUAAUAUUUAAAAAAACCUAAAUAAUAUUUUAAAUAAACUAACUAUUAUUUAACUAAUGUUUUAAAACAAACUAAUAUUUACUUAAAUAAACUAAUAUCUACUUAAAAUAGCUAAUACUUAAAACAACUAAUUUAAUAUUUUUAAAAAAACUAUUCUAAUUUUUUUAAUAAAAUACCAACAAAAUAUUUGACCAGUUAUAAAAAUAAAGAAAAAACCGAGUACAAAUUUUAAUCGAAAAAAUUAAACCAGUCACACUAAAAUUGUCAGCAAAGAAACCAACUUAUUAAAAAUACAGUCUUUCCUUCGAUUCAACCGAUUUUUCUGUAUUCUCAAAUAAAUUCAUCCUGACCGACAUUUCAGGUAUUAUUCAUGAUGCAAAUGUAUGUCAUGUUAUGCAUAUGAUGUUAUAAUAAAAAUGAAAUCGAUUCUAUGAUAAUUUAAAUAUGCCCGGACAAAAUUGGGGUACGACANNNNNNNNNNNNNNNNNNNNNNNNNUCUAUUUGCAUAAAAAUUAAACAUUACAACAAUUACCAGUAAACAAUUGUAGAAUUGAUUCCGCGGAAUGCGACCAUCAACAGGAGGUCGUGCUUGCUGGAUUUUUUAGAACAUACGAAACAAUCGAGGAUUUCCCAAGUCUAUCAUUACUUUGGUGUUGACUCGCCAUACUUCCCGCUUCGCUUCGCCCCUUUUAAUCCUUUGGUACUGAAACUGGCCGGAGCAAUUGUUUCUGCCCCCAAAAAUAGAAAUUAAACUUGCAAACAGAUUAAUAUUUAAACCAAGCAACACGUAAUUUGUGAAAGCGUUGUGCCGAACGAGUCCAUUGAUUAGAACGGGACAGUUGGCGGUGCGGUGACGAAGAAGCCGUUUGGAGAUGGCCGUCAGCAGGUGAAGAGUUGAAGGUGAGUUCUGGGCUUGGUUUAGCGGAAGUGCGAAUCGGUGCUGUAAGCCGUCGCGGUUUUGAAGGUGUUAGGGCUGUUGCGAUUUGCGGUUUAAAGGCGUGUUGGAAAAGGAUCGCGGAGGAGAGCGGUGCGAGGGUUUCGUUGCUGAGGUUCUUCAAAGGUAUGAGAAAACGAUGCGUGUGCAGAUGGGGAGAGGAAACAUGAAGGUUAAGCCGGCGGGUGGCGGCUUCACGGAAGAUUUGAAGGGCGAUUGAAGCGAUUUUGGCUGGCCGGUGAUGGGAAGCCCGAUUUAUGGAUUGUGACGGCAAUGCGUGAUUUGGCCGGUGUCGGCGUAGCGUGAGCUUGCAGUGGAAGUUUUCACCGAACCCGUGACGAAAAGGCGCGAUGAAGGAAUUUCCGGCUUGGGUUUUGUGGAUUAGAGACAGAAUUGGAGAUUGUGAAGGUGAGGAGGACUGACUUGUGCUGGAAGGUCUUUGUUGAUGGUUUUUUGUGAGAGAGAUGAGUGAAUCCGAGACAUGAGGUUUGGUUCUGUGCUGAGAGUUGAGAGAGCUUGAGUGCAGUGUGAGCGUGAGAUGCUGACGAGAGAAUAUUUCUUAUUAGCCUUUAUUUUUGUGCGUUCAUUGUCGGUACGAGAAGAGCAGGAAUCUGGGUCAGUUGGUUAGUUGAGUAGUGUUUAGUGGUAUGUGUUCAGAGACGUUUGGGAUAGGUUUGAGAUUGUUAUCUGUAAUUUUAUUGUUUUGUGUGUUUAAAAGAGAUAAGAGAAUUCCAAUGCUAAUAAUAUAUUAUCAGUUUAUUAAAUAAUAUAUACAAAUUAUUAAAGCAAAGCUAAUAAUAUUUAAAAAUCCUAAAUAAUAUUUAAAUAGACUAACUAUUAUUAACUAAUGUUUUAAACCAAACUAAUAUAUUAUGAAAAUAAACUAAUAUCUGACUUAAAAAUAGCUAAUACUUAAACUCAACUUAAUUUAAAUUUUUAAAAAAAACAUCUAUUUUUCAAUUAAAGAAACACAAUCAAAAUAUUGACCAUGUUCAUAAAAAUAAAGAAAAAACCGAGUACAAAUUUUUAAGUCGAAAAAAAAUUAAGACCAGCUCACACUAAAAUUGUCAGCAAGAAACACCAAUUUUAAAAAAUCACAAGUCGUUUCCUUCGAUUCAACCGAAUUUUUCUGAUAUUCUCAAAUAAAUUCAUCGCCUGACCGACAUUUCAGGUAUUAUUCAUGAUGCAAAUGUAUGUCAUGUUAUGCAUAUGAUGUUAUAAUAAAAAUGAAAUCGAUUCUAUGAUAAUUUAAAUAUGCCCGGACAAAAUUGGGGUACGACACUGCCCACGCUUUAUUUUUACACGUUUUACUUGUCCCUUACGCCUCACAUUCUAAAACAACUUUUCAUCAUGAUCAAUAUCGUUGUGUUUGUUUGAAUUACCAUGUCUGGCUAAAUCUUUUAAAGGUUAGAAUGUAAGGAUCGUGGUUAAAGAGAUGUUUCACAUAUUGAAUCUGUAGAAAUACCUUAAAGGCUGUUUUGAUUUUUAACUUGAGUUUUCUGAAACAAACUUGGUUAGUUUUAACUAUUCAAGGAGUGCGAAAGCACCCUGGCUUAGUUAACUAGGAAUUUUUAUCACUUUAAGGAAAAAACUAUUUUUGAAACUGUUUUCGGACGCGUUGAUAGAUUUAAAAUCAGGAAACUCCUUGGGUAAAACUUUCCAAAUCAAAAUCACUUUUCAACUAAGUUUAUGAGUCUUAUUUCUUAAAAUAAGUUUACUACUUUAGCAUUUUGCGCACCUUUUAUAAGUGACAAUAAAAGGCCUUAUAAAAGGAUUUCUGUUAAAUGGAUUCUUUUCAAGAGUAGAAAAUAUUGCCUCAUAAGUAGUUCUAUUUAGAAAAUCGAAACAUCACUUAACUGACGUGAGAUACAUUCAACCUAUCUUUACCUACAUUUAUUAUUUACCGUUAUUUUGCAACCCCAAUAUCUCUUUUAUACCGUCUUAGAUAAACAUCAUAAAGAUAGUAAUCGAUAGAUUAACGAUUCGGUCUCUGUGGGUUUGAUAUUCUUUUGUAUUACUUUGACGCGAUUCGUGCACUUGUGAAUUCACACGAUCAGCAAGCAACAAUAUAGACUCAUUGCACGAAACCAAGAGAUUUCUCAAAAAUAAAUUUGAGAUGAAAGAUCUUGGGAACGCCUCCUUUGUCUUAGGAAUUCAAAUACUUAGAGACCAUUCUCGAGGUAUUUUAGGAUUGUCACAAAGGAGCUACAUUGAUACAGUUCUUCAUAUAUUCUCCAUGAAAGAUAGUAAACCAGAAGACACACCUAUUGCUAAAGGAGACAAGUUUUGUCUCAAAUAGUGCCCCACCACGAAUCUUGAAAAGGAAGAGAUGCAUAAGGUUCCAUAUGCUUCAAUUGUGGGAAGUCAUAUGUAUGCUCAAGUUUGCACCCGUCCCUACUUAGCAUUCAUUAUAGGAGUUCUUGGCAUAUAUCUAAGCAACCCUGGUAUGCAACACUUGAUAGAAGUAAAACAUGUAAUGCGCUACCUGAAGAGAAUAAGAGACUUUAUGCUCACUUAUGGGAAGUUAGAGAACUUGCAGAUCAUUGGGUAUUCUGACUUAGAUUUUGCAGGAUGCUCGGAUAGUAGACGUUCCACAUCUGGUUACAUUUCUCUUGGCUGGAGGAGUUGUCUCCUGGAAGUCUUCCAAACAAAAUUUAGUGGCUCCCUCCACCAUGGUAGCAGAGUUGAUGGUUUGCUUUGAGGCAUCAAAUCAUGCAAUCUGGAUGCAGAACUUUGUCACCAGCCUACACAUUGUUAGGAGCAUUGAAAGGCCCUUGAAGAUUUAUUGUGACAAUAGUGCAGUUGCUCUCUACUCCAACAACAAUAUGAGUUCUACAAAAUAAAAAUUUAUUGAUAUCAAGUAUCUUGUUGUGAAAGAAAGAGUUCAGGAGAAGAAAAUUUUGAUAGAACAUAUAGGGACAAACUUAAUGCUAGCUGGCUCGCUAACCAAAUGUUUGACACCUAAAGCUUUUCAUGGGCAUGUUGGUCACAUGGGUCUUGGUUUUGAGAUUGCCUUUGAUUAGUGAGAGUUUUUUUCCUCAUUUUUCUAUGUUUUAUGUUUUGGUACAAACUUUAUGUUAUGUUUAAUUUUCUGCAUAAAUAAAAACUUAUGAGGUACUAUUGUUAUUACAAUAUCAAGUUUUUUGUUAUAUGCAAAUAUUGAAAAAAAUUAGAAUUGCACCUAAGGAACGUCAGUUUGAUCUCACUAAAGACUUCAGUAAGACCAGUUGGAAAUAUGCAUGAUUUAGAUAUCACAUUGCAUGAAAUUUCCAUGCCACUAAUCCAUAUCGAUCUAUGUCAUCAAAUACGUUGAUGUGGUGGCCGCCAGGGUUCUGUCACAUUAUACGUUAGUGACUACAACCAUGAUGAUCCCAUUAUUGAUGUAUGAGGUAGACCAAAUUGUAAAGUUGAAAUCUAAGGAUAAAUACCAUUCAGACGUGCGCCUAAAGAACUAUGAUCUAAUUAUUAACAUAUAUCGCCCAAGUGGGAGAUUGUUGGAAUAUUAUUUUAUAUGUUAUUUUAAUAUCCCGAUGAUUAUAUAUAUAUAUAUAUAUAUAUAUAUAUAUAUAUAUAUAUAUAUAUAUUAGUUAUAUUAGCUAUUUCAUCAAUUAAUUGCCUUAGAUAAUUAAGUGAUCAAAUAUGAGUGGAUGUCAGGAUGACUAAUUUGGGAAUAAUGGGAGCCCUAAUUGGCCAUCACACUAUAUAUAGGAUAUGAUCCUCAAUAUACCACACAAGAAAAAGGAGUAUCAGUUGAGGAAGAACCACAAAAGUCAAUUAGGGAAUUCGAUGCAUAAGGAGUACCGGUUGAGGAAGAACCACAAAAGCCAUCAACUUCUGAGUUUUAGGAUUAUCGUAAAAGAGAAUUUUCUCAAUAGAUCCAGGUAUUCUAUAAUCAAUUUAUCGAUCCUAAAAUUUUAUACAUACUUGUAUCACUAUUUUGAUUCCGCAUAAAAGAUAUGUCAUAGUAUGUUAAGCAUGUAUAUUGAAUUGAUUUAAUUCUAACAUCUCCAUCAUUCACUACUAUAAAAUAGACCUUUCGUAACACCAAUUUUACAACAAACAUAUUGUUAACUGUGGAAAUAGUUUAUUUAUGGGACUUUUUUUUAGUUGCUAAAGGACAUCUCACAACGAUAAAAUGAAGCAAUUGUAGUGAAAGAUACACAUAGUGACAUGGUAUGAAUCCCAACAUCAACAAUUAGAUAUUUAUCGUGAUAAAAAUGUGAUUGACAAUGUAUAUCACCACAUUUUUUAUUACCAAGCGUGAUAAAAGGUGAUACUUAUUUAUAUAUAAGCAAAAUUAUCUCUCGCUUCAGUAUAUAAUAGUCGUCUCUCUUAAAACAAAACCCUAGCAUUCCAAUUAAACCUAGAUUGAUUUAUGCAAGUUACAUGAACCAUAUGGAGCCUCUAUAAAUAGAGAGACAAGCCGCAUAACUCAAUACACAAGAAUUGGCACAAAAACUCCAUUGUAGCAAAUUCUCCAAACCUCAAACUUCCAAAUUCCAUUGUGCUUGUGUUUUCUCCAAACCAACACUUAAAACAACUUCUAAACAUCCAUUAGAAGUUGUCCAAACACUUGAACAACUUCUGUAACAUCCCUACCAUCAUCUUCCAAAUCACAUUUUCAUAGCUUGCAACUUGAUUUGGAAAGUAAGAACCCAUCACUCUCAGCUCAAUCCAGACAUUCAAACACCUUCCUUGAGGUGUAAGGAAGAUGUUCAGAUCAUAAAAUCACAUAUGGAACACCCCUAUUUCAAAACACGAUUUUCAUUUUUAAGGUAUGUAUUAAUUUCUGUAAUUUAUGAUUUAAGACACCAUUUUGCAUCAUUCUUGUUACCAUUUCACUUGCCAAGAUGUGAGGAACAAAACCCCUAUGAUCAUUGGUCUUAAUCGGUGAUGUUUGGAAAUUAAUUUUAAAUUUGAUUUUUAGGGUUCACAUGCAUUUUGUUUGAUUUUUGGAUAUUUAUGAAAAAUAAAUGAAAUUGGUGAGUACCAUUAGAUUCCUUGCGAAAAUCUAAACAAUUAUGUUAUUUACAACUUUUAAUUUCGUUAAGAAUAGAGAGAGUUAGAGUUUUGACAUUAAUUGAAAAUGGUGGAAAUGAUGGACUACGGGAUGAAUGAGGAAGAUGAAUUUGUAAGAACAAAUAUAGUUCUACAAUAUAUCUCUAAUAUUUUGAUGAUAAAAAAGGAUGAAAUGAAAAUGGUACCCUAACGAAAUUUUUCUAAGUGUGCAAGACUUUGAUCAAAACAAUCGGAUAGGCAACCAUCCUAUACAUAAUCAAGCGCUAAGAUACUACUCAGAAGAUAACGUGACCAGAAGGCUCUGACUCUGAUCCAAGGCAGGUGCUAGCAAAACUAAAGAAGUCAGAAACUAUGAAAGAGAAGAAUGAAUCCAGACUCUGAAGACGUACACUCUGAAGAAGUUAAAUAAAGGUAAACUCUGAUGAAGUCAGAUACAAGCAUCAUCUGAAGACGAAUAUCGCCAAAUAAAGACUCUGACUACAGGAUUCACAAGAAAACUUAACCUCGAAGAAAAUUUCUUAUAAAAAGAAACUAUUUUUAGAAGGAAGUUAUGACGCUCCCAUUUCUGCUUUGGAAUGAACAAGGAGAGUAAUGACAUUAAUCAUUCUUCAAUGACCAAGAUUCUGCCAUUAACAUCACCCAACGGUCCUCUCAUUUUCCUAUAAAAAGGAUGGAACGCUUCACAAAAAACACACCUGAGAUACACGAGAAUAAAAUUCUUCCAUUACUUUCUUUCACUCUCUCACGAGCCGCUGCUCUUACGUAAGAACUUUUCUUGCUCUUAUACUCUAUAAUAUUUGCUUAUUGUUAGAAGCACUAUUCAUUACUAAUCAUAUCAUUUCCAAGAUAUUUCCUCAAGUGACUCUGUGAAGUCUGAAUACUUGAGAGGGCUAAGGGAUUAUUUCUCUUAGACGGUUGUUUGUGUAAUAUUUCAAGAUUAGUGGAUUAAGUCCAUUUUGAAGGUGAAAUCACCUUGGUCGGGUGGACUGGAGUAGCUUUGAAUUUCAAGCGAACCAGUAUAAAAUUAUAUGGUGAAUCCUUUUUAUUCUACAUGUGUCUAAGUUCUUAAUUUUUUUAAAUUUUCCAAAACAAUUCAAACCCCCCUUUCUUGUUUUUCUCUACCUUAAAUUGGUAUCAGAGCUUCGGCUCUGUUAUUGAUUUUCUAAUCAAACACUUAACCGUGUAGAGAGAUCCAACGUGAGAAAAACACUAUGGCCAACACCAAUGAAGGAGAUAGUUACAAUGCUAAACCUCCAAUCUUUGAUGGAGAAAAAUUUGAUUACUGGAAAGAUAGAAUUGAAAGUUUCUUUCUGGGCUAUGAUGUUGAUCUAUGGGACAUAGUCACAAUCAGCUACACACCUCCUGUGUCUGACGCUGGCGUUGCCAUUACCAGAAGCAAAAUGACAGAUGAUCAGAAGCGCGACUUCAAAAACCAUCACAAAGCUAGAACGAUACUGCUAAAUGCCAUUUCCUACAAUGAAUAUGAAAAGAUCACCAAUAGGGAAACAUCUAAAGAAAUACUUGACUCCCUGAGGAUGACUCACGAAGGAAAUUCUCAAGUCAAAGAGGCAAAGGCUCUGGCUCUAAUUCAGAAGUACGAAGCCUUCAAGAUGGAGGACGAUGAGGCUAUAGAGGUAUUGUUUUCUAGAUUUCAAACUUUAAUUGCAGGACUCAAAGUUCUGGACAAGGGCUACACAACUGCAGAUCAUGUCAAAAUGAUAGUCAGAAGCUUGCCAAAGAAGUGGAGACCAAUGGUCACAACAUUAAAGUUAUCAAAAGAUCUGAACAAUAUCAGCCUUGAGGAACUCAUCAGUUCACUCUGAAGUCAUGAAAUAGAACUUGAGGAAGAUGAGCCUCAAAAGAAGAUCAAGUCUGUAGCACUAAAGUCCAGAUCUGAAAGACGCAAACCAGAAAGGAACAAAGCCUUCCAAGCUGAAGAGGAAG